GUCUCUAAAAGGGUUGGUAGAGCCAGCUUUAUAAAGACAAUUAAAUGGCCGCGGUAACACUGACCGUGAUAAUGUAGCGUAAUCAAUAGUCAAUUAAUUGUUGGCCGGUAUGAAUGGUGUCACGAGGGUCUCACUGUCUUAAGGAAAUUUCCAGUGAAAUUGAUUUGGUGAAGAUGCUACAUCCAAAUUGUUAGACAAGAAGUCCCCAUGGAACUUUACUGGAAACUUAUGUGGCUUAAAUUAAUUUAUUUCUUACAAAUAAAUAGUUUUUAAAUGUGGUGUUAACCUCUCGGAUUAACGAGGGUUAGAAAAGCUCACUCUUUUAUUUUAAGAAAGCCAACUCAAAAUUUUAUGUCUUUGGGAUUUGAUAAGUGGGACAGUUUGGUUGGGGCGACCGCCUUUAAAAAAGUAACGAAGGCGGGCUUAAGAUAUAUUUUUAGUUAUGUCUGACUGCCAAGGGGGAAUCCUGAGCAGGCACUUACUUUUUAGGUGGGUUUAAGUGACCCGUUAAUUUAGGGUGAAAUAGUUAACGAUAAGCAAAUAAG
rnacentral:rRNA from 1 species